UCAUAAUCUAUCUAGACUCACCUUUAAAUCCGUGAGAUUGGCUAAGGAAGACUAGACUCAAGCUCAAGCUAAUCACACUCACUUUUGAUCACUCUCGGUUCAGAACCAUCACAAGGAUCCGGCUUGAUCCGAAUACUCUCCUUGGCCAUCUGAACUCAAACAUAACAGUUGGAACAUAAGGUUCACUAGUCUGGUUCAAGAAGAAACUCAACUCAGUUCAUAACAUUUCAGUUCAGUUCUCUCAUAUCAGUUCGGGGUUCAAGAUUUAACAAUUUAACUCGGUUCAUAUCAGCUUAGUUCAUGCUCAGCUAACUCCGGUCUAAUCAGUUCCCAACAGCUUAACUCGGUUAUACUCAGACGACAUCAGUUCAAGACAAUUUCGACCAUAGACAGCGGCUCAGAUCAGAUCAGAACAUACUCAGCUCAAUUCAGUUCUAAACAAGAUCAAAUCAGUUCGGUUUAAUUCCCAUAAUUUUUAUCAGUUCGUCUACUGGUUCUAUGAGACUGAUUAAAUCAUAAACCAACCAAGACUGAAGAGAACAAGACCUUAGACAACUGAUCCUGACAGGUUAACCAACAUACAGCAAUUGGUUCUCAUCAAAACAUGGCUGAAUCAAGAAGCUGAAGCUUACCGGUUUUACUCAACUAAUUAAACUUGAGUGGUUGCCUCUCUUCAAGCUAACCACGAAUUAACCUGAUCAACACCACAAGAAUCAAUGGUUGGAUUUAUUCAGAAUUUAUCUCCAGUGUAGGCAAACCAACAAAACUUCUCACAGAAACUGAUCCACAACCAUCUUACCGAUCGAAAUCAAAGGCUGAAGAACAUAGGUGAUUCUCAACUUCAGGACACCAAAUCUUCAGCUCUUAAACACUCCAAAACUCACUGACUAAAGUCACAGGAUGGUGAGAAAGAGUGGUCCAUGCUCACUCCUCUUCUCUGAAUAUUUUUCUGAAUUUUUCUUGAAUCUUUUCUCACAGAUUUUUUCUCUCUUCCUUCCUCUUUCUCUCUGAAUUUUCUCUGGUUUUUCUUGCAGUUAUGAAUGUCAUCCAGAGAGAGAAGAGGGUAUUUUAUAUCAUAAGGAGUUGCUUCAGAUGAGGGUUUGCUCCCACAAAAGACAAAGAUGAGGUAAGACAGCUGGUGACAUGCUUCAGCACACCAAGCAGCACAAGCAGCUGAACUUUUCCUUCCCAUGAAGAAAGCUACAAGCAGCUGAAGCAAGUAGCUUGUGACCAGCAUGUGACUUAUUGAGAUGAAGACCAAGGAGGCUGAGACAGUAACUUUAGAGUUUUACUGUGGUAACUUUAUUUUAACCACAGUAACUACUUGGGGAAGUUAUCUGAUGGGAUGAGAAGGUAACUUAGUGAAGAGAAGAGAGGAAACUCGACCAAAGAGGAUAAGGGAGGAUAAGGAAGGAUAAGAGAUCACUUUGACAGCCUGUAUGAUGCUGGAAAGGAGAAGUGCCUUUAUACUAGUGCAAGCAUGUGAGAAAGCACAGCCAAGUGAUUCAAAAGGAGUUCCAGCCUGUCCUUUGACUACACAUGCUUAUCCAUUUCGAAUUUCCUUGUUGCUCUCUCUAUUAAUACUUGUAAACCUCAUCAGUUAUUAAUUAAUGGAGUUUUGAGUCUCUCUCUCUUUAUUCUCUCCUCUAAAUCUCUUAAUCUCUUUAAUCUUUUCAUCUGAUUAUCCCUGAUUGGUUGAAUCAUGCUCUAAUACACAAAAGUGUAUAUGGUAUCAGAGCCAGGUUGCUAAAAAGGGGAGAGUGUGAUUUCGUUUUUCAUAAAAAUCUGGGUGUUCUUGAGUGUUCUUGGUGUUCUUGAGUUCUGGUCUUUAUUAUCUGAGUGGUGUGAGAUAUUCUGAUGGAUUCAAACUAUCUCAACAUGGAAAUGAAGCACAGAUCUAGUACAACCAUGGAGCUUGAAGAAGAGAGGAUGGCGAUUGGUCAAGAUGGGCAAAGAGAGCUUUGGAAAGCUGUGGGUUAUGGAGUAGUCAUGGAAAGGGGAAACCUUUCAUGGAAAUGGCUACUGAAGAAGGUCAGACAAGAGGUCUGAAGCUGGGAAAUGAAGUUGUUCAAGGAAACACUACAAAGAGUGAGAUUGAAGCAACUUUAGGCAAGUCCAAGCUUGUGAGAGUCGUUGAGGACAGAGGGGUGAUCCGCGGCUUGAGACAAGGAAAGGAUGAGUGUUAUCAGCUUGUGGGAAGGCUGAGAGAAGUAUGGUCAGAGCUAGAUGUGGUGAAGACACACACAUCAAAUCCGAGAUGUUGUCAAGAAAGGAGGAAGCAAGAUGUGAUCUUCAGCUUCCUUAUGGAAGAGGUAUGUGAGCUUGUUAAAUAUACUUGUGAUGUGUGGGAAAUGAACAGGAAGCCAGAAAGAUGGAAGGGAGGUACAAGCUGUAAGAGGGGGUUGAGAAAACUUUCUAAGGAGUGGUUAAUGAAGAGAAGGGCAUGGAGAAAGGAUAGCGAGUCUGAGCACUUAAGUGACAGGAUGAGUGUAAUCUUGAAGAGAAUCAAGGAUGAACUUCAGCAGAUGGUUAUAGGAGAGUGUUCAUACUCAGCUUACAUGGGAGAAACAGUAGGAGACAGUGCGGAUAUGAGAGGAAUGGAUACCAAGAGGGCAGAUGAGUGUAUGACAAAGAAGGAAUGGGAUGAGUUGGUUAAGCAUGUGUAUGCUUUGGCUACGACCCGGAGUCUGGGUGCUCCUGCCAAAGCAUCCACAUCUAAACCCAUCAUCAUUGACUCUGGAGCAACACACCACAUGAUCAGUGACAAGAGACUAAUCAGUGAGGUUAAAGCAGCAACAGGGAGUGUCAUGAUAGCCAAUGGUACCAGGAUCCCAAUAGAAGGAGUGGGAAACCUCAAGCUGUUUGAGAAGAACUCCACUGCCUUCUACCUACCUCAGUUUACAUCCAAUCUAAUCUCAGUUAAGAAGGCUACAGUUGAUCUGGAUUGUCAAGUGGUUUUCAGACCAAAUGAAGUUGAGUUCCAGGAUUUGAAGACUGGAAGAGUUAUUGGCAGAGGAGACAGCAAGCAUCAGCUCUAUCAUCUCCAAACAACUGAGGCGCCUAGUCCUGUGGAGUCUGUGUGUUUAAGCAGCACAACGGAUAGGUGUGAUAAUCUCACAUGGCAUGCAAGGCUGGGACAUCCUCAUGCCAAGGCAAUUGAACUGAUUCUACCAAGUAUGGCGUUCAAUCACUUGGAGUGUGAAGCUUGUAUACUUGGAAAGCACUGUAGAACUGUCUUCCCAACAUCAGAAACCAGAUAUGAGAAUUGCUUUGAUCUGGUGCAUUCAGACGUGUGGACAGCUCCCUGUAUGUCUAGAGACAGCCAUAAGUACUUUGUGACUUUCAUUGAUGAGAAGUCCAAGUACACAUGGAUCACCAUGAUUCCCUCCAAAGACAGAGUCCUGGAAGCCUUCAUGAACUUCCAAGCAUAUGUUACUAACCAGUACAAUGCCACUGUGAAGAUUCUGAGGUCUGAUAAUGGAGGAGAAUACACUAGCAAUGCUUUCAAGAGUCAUCUUGCAAAGCAUGGGAUUGUGCAACAAACUAGCUGUCCUUACACACCACAACAAAAUGGGGUGGCUGAGAGGAAGAACAGACAUUUGAUGGAGGUUGCGAGAUCAAUAAUGUUCCACAUGAAUGUCCCUAAGAGGUUUUGGAGUGAUGCUGUUCAGACUGCUUGCUAUCUCAUCAAUAGAGUGCCAACCGUGUCUUGAAGAAACUGUCUCCCUUUGAAGUAUUAAACAAGGCCAAGCCACACAUUGAUCAUUUGAGAGUCUUUGGGUGCUUAUGUUAUGUGAUGAUUCCCGGAGAAAGAAGGAACAAGCUAGAAGCAAAGAGUACUAAAGCUAUGUUCAUUGGGUACUCAAUCACUCAGAAAGGCUACAAAUGUUAUGAUCCAAUAACUAGGAGGGUUAUGGUAUCUAGAGAAGUGAAGUUUGUUGAGUCUAAAGGGUAUUAUGAGGAGAAGAAAUGGGAAGACCUAGAGGAUCUGUCCCGAGCUCCAUCAGAGAAGGCAACAACAUUGAGGGUGUUGUUGGAGAGGCUAGGGAUAGGAUUAUCCCAAGAUCAGGAACCAGGAAGAACAGGACCUUCUAAUCAAGCUGGAGAAGCUGGAGGAACAACUCCUCUUGAUCAUGAGAGGGGGAAUGGAUCUGAAUCAGGGGAGAGGAGCAUAACCAAGAGGAUUCAGGUCAGCAUGAUCAGGAGGAGACACAGGAAGUAGAGAGUGGAGCUCAGUCAGGUGGAAAUGAGCAGGGAGAACCUACUGGAAAUGAGCAGGGAGAACCUACUGGUUUAAGAGAGGAAGCACAAGAGAAUGUUCAGGCUGAAGAACAGGUUGAGACCUUGCGGAGGAGCACAAGGAUAAGGAGGGAUCCUUCCAACUGGGUAAACACGAGAGUGUACUACAAUGCCCAGGCUGUGGAGCAUCCCUCUCAAGCCGUGUGUUCCUUUGCUGAGUUUCCAGAAGAGCACAUGGUGUUUAUGUGUAACUUGGAUGAGAAUGAGAUACCAAGAUCUUAUGAAGAAGCUAUGAAGCACAAGGUUUGGAGAGAUUCAGUAGGAGAUGAAAGGGAUGCAAUGAUCAGGAAUGAUACUUGGUAUGAGAGUGAGUUACCUAAAGGGAAGAAGGCAGUUUCAAGCAGAUGGAUCUUCACCAUCAAGUACCUUGCAAAUGGGGAGAUAGAUAGGCGCAAGACUAGGCUGGUUGCAAGAGGAUUUACACAGACUUAUGGGGAAGAUUACAUUGAUACUUUUGCACCAGUGGCCAAGCUUCACACAAUUCGAAUUGUGUUAUCUAUUGCAACAAACUUGGAGUGGGAUUUGUGGCAAAUGGAUGUGAAGAAUGCUUUCUUGCAAGGUGAACUUGAAGAUGAAGUAUACAUGCAUCCACCUCCUGGUCUUGAGCAUCUAGUAAAGCCAGGGAAUGUUUUGAGAUUGAAGAAAGCAAUAUAUGGGUUGAAACAGUCACCUAGAGCUUGGUACAGGAAGCUGAGUACAACACUCAAUGGGAGAGGCUUUAGGAAGUCUGAACUAGAUCACACUCUCUUCACCUUGACAGGACCUUCAGGGAGCAUUGUGAUUCUAGUGUAUGUGGAUGAUUUGAUUAUCACAGGAAGUGAUAAGGCAGGGAUUCAGGCUACUAAGGAGUUUCUCAAAUCUGUGUUUGACAUCAAGGAUUUGGGAGAGAUGAAGUAUUUUCUGGGCAUUGAGAUAUGCAGAUCAAAGGAGGGUUUGUUUAUGUCUCAAAGGAAGUAUACUAUGGAUAUGUUGAAGGAGACUGAUGUGCUUGGAGGAAAGAUAGCUAAGACACCCCUUGAGGAGGGAUAUAAAGUUCUGCGUGAGGGGGAGGUUGAAGAGAAGCAGCUGUUUGAAGAUCCUAAGCUAUACAGGAAGAUGGUUGGCAAGCUGAUCUACUUGACCAUCACCAGACCAGAUAUAUGUUUUGCUGUGAACCAAGUGAGUCAGCAUAUGCAGGCGCCAAAGGUCCAUCACUGGAAGAUGGUUGAUAGGAUACUGAGGUAUCUGAGUGGGACGGAUGGACAAGGAGUUUGGAUGGGUUGUAAUGGCAGUACAGAAGUGGUUGGGUAUUGUGAUGCUGAUUGGGCAGGAGAUAGAGUGGACAGGAGAUCAACUACUGGGUAUUGUACAUUCAUUGGAGGAAACUUGGUUACUUGGAAGAGUAAGAAGCAGAAGGUUAUCUCUUGUUCAAGUGCUGAAGCUGAGUAUAGAGCCAUGCUGAAGCUGACAAACGACUUGGUGUGGAUCAAGGGGAUCUUGAAGCAUCUAGAGAUUGAGCAGAGUACUCCUAUGACUAUGCAUUGUGACAAUCAAGCAGCUAUCCACAUUGCCUCUAACUCAGUGUUUCAUGAGAGAACAAAGCACAUAGAGGUGGAUUGUCAUAAGGUGAGGCAGAUGAUCAUCUUAGGAGUGAUUCUGCCAUGUUAUACAAGAAGUGAAGAUCAGCUUGCAGAUGUGUUUACUAAGGCAGCGAGAUUGAAGGCAAUGGAGUCCAUACUGUCAAGGCUUGGACUCAUUGAUCUGACUCCUAGGAGCUGAGCCCCUUAACCAGGGAGUCUCCACUCUUUUUCCCUCAUCAAGGUUUUAUCCCAAUGGGUUUUACUUGGUGAGGUUUUUAAUGAGGGAGGUCUUCAUGGUUUCCAAGCUUGACUUGUUCUACAUGGUCAAGCUUGAGGGGGAGUAUUGAGAUGAAGACCAAGGAGGCUGAGACAGUAACUUUAGAGUUUUACUGUGGUAACUUUAUUUUAACCACAGUAACUACUUGGGGAAGUUAUCUGAUGGGAUGAGAAGGUAACUUAGUGAAGAGAAGAGAGGAAACUCGACCAAAGAAGAUAAGGGAGGAUAAGGAAGGAUAAGGGAUCACUUUGACAGCCUGUAUGAUGCUGGAAAUGAGAAGUUGCCUUUAUACUAGUGCAAGCAUGUGAGAAAGCACAGCCAAGUGAUUCAAAAGGAGUUCCAGCCUGUCCUUUGACUACACAUGCUUAUCCAUUUCGAAUUUCCUUGUUGCUCUCUCUAUUAAUACUUGUAAACCUCAUCAGUUAUUAAUUAAUGGAGUUUUGAGUCUCUCUCUCUUUAUUCUCUCUCUAAAAUCUCUUAAUCUCUUUAAUCUUUUCACCUGAUUAUCCCUGAUUGGUUGAAUCAUGCUCUAAUACACAAAAGUGUAUAUGACUUCUAAUGAGCAAGCAGGCAAGCAAGUAGGUGUAGGUCAUGUGACCUAAUUACUGAGGAAGCAAGUAGGCUAGAAUGUGCAAAGCAUGUGACUGUUCAGAAAUAAUUUUAAGAGCUUUGUCGAUAUUUUUUGGACUGUUUCGACUAAAUAUUUUUCAUCAUUCGAAUCUCGUCCUGCUCUGAAUAAACUCACUCAGCAUGAAUAAAAAUCAACGAUAAUAAUUAACACUCGACCAGAACCAUCAAGAGAUGGUUUUUCGACCAAAAGACAGCCCCGUCGAGAUUAAUUCACCGUGUCGAUUUUUAUUUAAAUUCUGAUCGAUCUAUCUUCAAACUGAUCUUAAAGAAUUUUCUUGACCAAAAUUAUAUCUGCUCGUGAGGGUUAUUACAUUCUUCCCCGCUCAAAAGAAUUCGUCCCCGAAUUCUGAAAACGUAACUGUACACUCUUUACUGAACAGUUUCUGAAAGGAGUUCUGGAUAUUAGCUCUGACCUUAUCUUAAUCUGCCCAUAUCAAAAUAACUCAUGGUUGACCCUUGAUUCUCCCAACCGAUCCUUUCUUUUAUGAGCAGCCACUUUCAAGAUAACCAAAUUAUUUACUCUGUACAACUCUUGUCAACUGCGGUCUGCAUACUUUUUCUAACAAUCUUGUAUCUAUAGACUAUUACUUCUCAAACUUUUCUAUCUGGCUUUCUCUCAUAACAGCAACAUGAAAUUUGGAACGUGAGGUGAUGUGCCAUACGUGAAGGUAACAUCUUCAGUCUGGUCAAUGUCAACUUGAUUAACCGUGCAACAAUCAAACAAGAACAUGCACGAUCAAUCACGCUAACAUGAUUCAGACCAAGGGUGCCACUCUCAAAUACACACAAACACACUUAUUCCAGAAAUGAUUUCCCUUACAGUAUUCCAUACCCUUCUUAUCUAUCUGAUAUACUCUUCAAAAACUUCUGAACGACUCAAUCUCACUGAAAUUUCGCAUAUCCAAGUCUUGUUCUAUUACUUUCUGAUUUCCUUCUUCUGUCUAGUAACUGAGGAAUCAACAAGUCCACCUAUACCAAACUUGAUUUACCAACGAAGUACUCUUGUAUGAUGACUUCACACUUUCUCUGUUAAUACAUCUUCUGAUUUCUUAACAACUUAAGCAUUCCCAUAUGCCUUAUGGUUAUACCUUUUUCCUUGCACUCUUCAAUCUUCCUUGGGAUUUACUUCACAUCUGCUUAAUUUUAGGUUGAAUUUGGAUUCCUUCUCCCACAUCUCCACUUUAUGAACUUGUACAUGACACAGUCCUCAUACUAUUCUUCGAAAUUCUCUUCACCCAGUUCCUUCUAUGAAUUCCUUAGAUUCUCAUCCUUCAACUGAGUUCCUCAAAUACGAAUGAAUAAGCCAUCUUGGUUUUCUACUUGCAAUCUUGAAGGUUCUCUAUUCUUUCCUUAUAAGGCAGCAAAAUAAAUCACUCCCAAUUCCGCUUCAUGAUUCUUGAGAUCCUACUCCAUAUCAUGUUUAAUAUCACUUCCUCUUAAAGCAUAAGCAGCAAUAUUUGCUCUUCCUUAGGCUUCUUUGAUCAGUGAAAACUUGCAUCCUUUCCCCAUAUUGAAAUGAUCACUAAAUUUGAUGUUCAACAGAACUGCCACCAACCCCAACUUGUGCAUCAAAUAGUUUUCCUUAUGCUUCCUUAGCUCCCUUGAUGCAUAAACGAUUACCAUAUCGUCUUGCAUUAGCAUUCACCUAGACCAACACAUAAUACAUCCAUGUAGUAGUAUAUGGCUGGUUAGGCUCAUGCAAGUCUAAGAUAUGCAUAGACGUAGAUACUUCCUCUAACUAAUUUCAUACUUCAUCAAUACUUUUACUCCAUUCCAAGGUAACACCAUUCUCAGUCGAUCAACUCAUUGGUGGAUAUGGUUUCUAACUCUUGAACAAACUUCUGAUGGUAACCGGCCAAUCCACAGAACUUCGAAUCUCGAUAACUGAAAUUGAGUACGACCAUCAUGUAGUAGUAGCGAUCUUUUGUAAAUAUGCAACAAAUCCUUGUUCCAUUUACUGACUAAGGUAUCUAACUUCCAAUUUCCAUGCAGAAAUAUUUACUACAACGUGAAGCGUCCAUCAAACGUCCUUGGAAUAAAACUACGCCUUGCGACCGAUCUUAACCAUUCUUCAAUUCUAGAACUUGAUACUUGACCCUGAUGGUCACGUCCUUAAUUUUAUACUCGAACAUAACCGCAAACUCUGGUUCUUCUUCUUUACCACUGACAUGGGUACACUCCACAGAAAAUAACUAAGUCGAACAAAACCUUUCUCCAAACAAAUCUUCUGACUGCUACUUGAAUUUGGCUAGAACCACUUGGAUCGAUGCCUAGGCAAUUGCAGCGAAUCAAGGUUCAACCAGAAUACUUGACGGGUUACUUUUGGAUGUCAACAAAUUUUCCACUUUCUUAAACAUAGCUUCAUGUUCCCUAGUUAUCUAACUGUCCUCGAUACUCUGCUUCUUGUUAUUUUCUCUCUGCCCAAUUAUGAUGAUAAUGGAAUACGCCACGUCACCGUUUCCCAACUCUCCAGACUGAUAUGAGCGAGGCUCCAACACUUAGAAGAAUACCAUUGCAAGCCAACGGUAACUGGUCUUCUCUCAAAGACUUUCUUCCUCAACCACAUCCUAAUUGAGCUCUAUAACUAGAUAGCCAAUCUCACUCUAGAUAGAAACAAACCGCUCUAAUGGAAGUACUAAGGAAUGGGGAUGGGAUACGAAGGCAUACCAUAACUCUAAAUGGCAGCCAGUACUUCCACGAAUAAGAACAGUGUACUUGAAUUCACUAAAGUGAAUCCUUCCUAAAACAAAGACACUACCCGAGAACUACAUCUAUGUGUUGUUCCCGCAUCAAACACAAUAUGGGCGGAAAAUUCCAUCCAUAGGCAAGGUCUCAUACGACACCUUGAUCACUCCUUCACUUAUUUAUUUAAUCAUUCAUAAAUUUUUAAAAUGCACACAACACGCAAUGGGAUAAGAAGCAAACCUGUGAUUGGACCUUUCAGGGGUUUUGACGGUCCAGUCAACUAUAAAGUGUAGGCUCUACCCAAAUAGCCUAACACUUGGAUGUGGACUAACGGUAAGGAAAAUCGGACUAGUUCAACAAGUGUUAUCUUAGGUAUAGGUAACGUAGAUCGGGUAACUUCAUGAGGAAGGGUAACCUAAAUUCCUAACUCUUCACAAGAACCACCAAAGCGCGAAUGAUGCAAAUGUUACAGGAUUUCCCAAACUUUGACAAUCCCGACCAUUCUGUCUUUGCUAGUCACAACCAUAACGGCUCAAGGUCCUCGAUCUUGAUCUUUGAUCUGCAGCGGUUGGAAAAUAAACGGUCUGCAUGACUUGGUUAACUUCUUCAGCAAUAAUAGCUUCUUUAACAUUCACGUCAUACUCUAACAUCUCCUCGAAGCUUUGAAACUCCAUGGUCUUUUAUCUACUCCAAAAUUCUUGGCUAAGUUCCCAAAGAUUUUUCGUAUGAUCUUUUGCUUAUUCUCCAAACCAUAAUUGAUGAAUCCAAUUCACUCGACCACGUAUCUCGAUGCUUGUGUAGAAAAUACUACUUCCUGAACUCAUGAAAUCUGUCCAACUCGAACUAAACUCUCUGAAGUAAUUCUUGACUCUCGACCAACAACUCAUAGCGUUCAUCUCCAAAUAGCUUGCUGCCAAAUCCUUCUUGUAAUUCUCUGAACAACGGCCACGUGAAUAUUCUGCUCUGAGUGUUGGAUCCCAAAUAUGCCUCAAGCCAAAGUAUACUUCUAACGGUUUAGUCCUUAUUCAGUAUCUUAUGGUCCCAACUUCUUCUUCUUUGCAUCAUAAGCUUCAUGAUAUUCCGUUGCAAACAGAAUGCUUCUGGUGCUUCCAUCAUCUUGUAAUACAGUCAAACCAUCUCUUCCUCCAACGCUAACCUUGAAACAAAUGCUUAAGAAAUCAUGCUUGUAUGGCUGUGGUGCUUGUACGUCUUAGCAUGAGCUGGUUAGACUUGCGAAGCCGGAAGACUAAGUGCAUCUGAGUGAUCAUGUGCAUUCGAAUCAUACUGAAUCGGAUCACAAACAACACCCACCUUGACAUCGAUAACACACGAGUCUGGAGAUGUAUUCGAUGUAUCAAUUAUGUCCCAUAUAUCUCUCUAAAGAAUUGGCAUCCCCACUAGAACUCAAAAGAACGGCAGGAAGGCAUGUUACUAAUUCCUAACAGGACGGUAGUGAAUCCGACCAUGAGGGUAGAAAACUCGAGCAUGAUGAUAGCAACAUCGAUAAGUACAGUUCACCCGUUCAAGCUUGUCUUGGUGCUUCUGCUAUGAAAGAUCAGGUUAGGUAACUACCCAUGACUAUCUAUUCUAAAAUGAAGGAACAAGCCAGCAUAUCCUAGUUAUCCUUGCGACUCAUUUUGACUCGAAAAACAUUUAAAACAAGUCCCAUUCUAGCAUCGUAUAACCAUGCUCUGAUACCACCUUUGUGACACCCCCGAUCAUAGAUGACCGGAAAUGACACGGUCGAUGUUCCUCGAUGGUCGAUCUGAGGUUCUCAGAAUACUUCCGAUCGCCUUAGACCAACAAUCAAAGAACACCAACGCUCCUAUCGGAUACCACUCUAGGCUUUUCAACCCGAGAAAGCAAUACCUGAUAGUUAGUUCGUCCGGACAAGGACUAAUAUCAUAUGGAACCCGUACUUUAAAAAAAAACAUUAUUUAUAUAUCAUUCAAAAUCAUCUUACAAAAUUUGUUAUAAAUUAACCUCGAGGUUUUCGGUCUACAAAUCUUAUUCAUAAGAUAUAUCAAAAUGACUUUGCAAGGAUAAUAAAACUACCGCUGGCUAAUGCCGUUCCUUCCCGUCCUAGAGUAAAGGUCUCCCACCUACUGGUUACCUGCAUAUCAAAUGAGUCAUGAGUAACUAGUUUACUCAGUGAGUCUAAUCCCACACCCAAACACAUAUCAAUAGUAUCCCGAGCAAUCGACACCAUUUGAAUGCAGUGGAAUUAUAUUCCAUAAUUAAUAUAAGGCCUCUCAAUCCAUCCAUGUGAAUCUAUCUUAAACAUCACCUCCACGAUACCCGCCAAUCACUCAUACUCUUAAUAUAUAUAUAUAUGCUAAACCCGGAAAACCACCAAGGCUAACCGAGCUUAACGGGGAAUAAAUAUAACCAUCAUCUCCAUCAGAUAUUCCAAGAUAGAACAUCCAACGCUGCAUGCAGUUACACGGCCUCCAGGGUGCGACCCCAUCAUCGUGUCUUCAUGACCUUGAUCCAUAUCGCAGGACCAAUUCACGGCAAUGCGGGACUUUCGGGAGAGUGAGUAUACAAUAAGACUUCACAUGAUUCACACUUAUUAAUAGAAUACUUAUAGAUUAGUACUUGAGAACAAGUACUAAGGCUCGGGAUAACCUCAAAGAAUUAUUCUUGUUUAUUCUUAAGUAUUUAAACUAGAUAAAUACUUCAUAUAUAAAUAUAGAUCAAGGAAUAAUACUUAAUCAAUCAAACCAUAAUUACUCCUUAAUUAAUCCAUGAUUAAUCCUUAAUUAAUCCAUGAUUAAUCCUUAAUUAAUCAAUGAUUAUCCCUUAAUUAAUUCAUGAUUAAUUCUUAAUUAAUCAACCAUAUUCAAUAUGCAAUCAUGCAUACUCAUUCAUAAUUCAUUCAUCAUCUAUCUAGACUCACCUUUAAAUCCAUGAGAUUGGCUAAGGAAGACUAGACUCGAGCUCAAGCUAAUCACACUUCACUUUUGGAUCACUCUCGGUUCAGAACCAUCACAAGGAUCCGGCUGAUCCGAAUACUCUCCUUGGCCAUCUGAACUCACAACAUAACAGUU
rnacentral:lncRNA from 1 species